rnacentral:rRNA from 1 species
UACGGGGGGGCAAGCGUUGUUCGGAAUUACUGGGCGUAAAGGGUUCGUAGGUGGCCAACUAAGUCAGACGUGAAAUCCCUCAGCUUAACUGGGGAACUGCGUCUGAGACUGGAUGGCUUGAGUGCAGGAGAGGAACGCGGAAUUCCAGGUGUAGCGGUGAAAUGCGUAGAUAUCUGGAGGAACACCGGUGGCGAAGGCGGCGUUCUGGACUGCUACUGACACUGAGGAACGAAAGCCAGGGGAGCAAACGGG